GGCAGUAGAUGCUUACACAUGCAGUCGAUUCAAGUUACCUUCGGGUAAUGAGGAUGGCGGACGGGUGAGUAACGCGUAAGGAACUUGCCUCUUGGACUGGGACAACUGUUGGAAACGACAGCUAAUACCGGAUAUUAUGAGAUUCUCGCAUGAGAAACUUAUGAAAGCUAUAUGCGCCAAGAGAGAGCCUUGCGUUCCAUUAGCUAGUUGGUGGGGUAACGGCCCACCAAGGCGACGAUGGAUAGCCGGCCUGAGAGGGUGAACGGCCACAAGGGGACUGAGACACGGCCCUUACUCCUACGGGAGGCAGCAGUGGGGAAUAUUGGACAAUGGGCCACAAGCCUGAUCCAGCAAUUCUGUGUGCACGAUGAAGGUCUUCGGAUUGUAAAGUGCUUUCAGUUGGGAAGAAGAAAGUGACGGUACCAACAGAAGAAGCGACGGCUAAAUACGUGCCAGCAGCCGCGGUAAUACGUAUGUCGCAAGCGUUAUCCGGAUUUAUUGGGCGUAAAGCGCGUCUAGGCGGAAAAAUAAGUCUGAUGUUAAAAUGCGGGGCUCAACUCCGUAUUGCGUUGGAAACUGUUUUUCUAGAGUACUGGAGAGGUGGGCGGAACUACAAGUGUAGAGGUGAAAUUCGUAGAUAUUUGUAGGAAUGCCGAUGGAGAAGUCAGCUCACUGGACAGAUACUGACGCUGAAGCGCGAAAGCGUGGGGAGCAAACAGGAUUAGAUACCCUGGUAGUCCACGCCGUAAACGAUGAUCACUAGGUGUCGGGGGUCGAACCUCAGCGCCCAAGCUAACGCGAUAAGUGAUCCGCCUGGGGAGUACGCACGCAAGUGUGAAACUCAAAGGAAUUGACGGGGACCCGCACAAGCGGUGGAGCAUGUGGUUUAAUUCGACGCAACGCGAGAAACCUUACCAGCGUUUGACAUCCUAAGAAGUUUCCAGAGAUGGAUUCGUGCCGGCUUGCCGGAACUUAGUGACAGGUGGUGCAUGGCUGUCGUCAGCUCCUGUCCUGAGAUGUUUGGGUUAAAUCCCGCAACGAGCGCAACCCCUAUUGUAUGUUGCUACCAUUUAAGUUGAGCACUCCUGCGAUACUGCCUGCGAUGAGCAGGAGAAAGAGGGGGGGGUGGAACUUCCAAUUCUUCAUGGCCCCUUAAAAACUGGGGGUAACACCCUGCUUCAAUGGGGGGGUACCAAAAAAUUUCCCCCUCCCCCGAGAGUGAGCAAAUCCCUUAAAACGGUUUCUUAUUUUUGUGAAUGGAACCCGCUCACCUCCGCGGCCCUGGAAUGUUGGUAGGCCUCUUCUA
rnacentral:rRNA from 1 species